CGGUGGAUGAUGACACCAGACUUUGUUAAUGUUUAUUUAUUCUUUUACCGUAUGUUACUUUAUAUCAUGAAGAGAAAGAGGAGAGAAACCCUUCAUAUAAAGAUUGACUAUGGAGAGUUUCCAACAAACAGAGCAGAAAGUGACAUUUUGUGCAGAUGCAUCGAUCAGACGCAGUCUCAAUGCUAUUUGAAAAAUAUCGGAUUCAACAGAAGGCUGAAAAUAGCCAGCCAGUCUGAGGAUCUUGCAGGCCUGCGCCGAAAUGCACCGGGGAUCAGACCGAGGAGCUGGUGGGGUUUCAUCUGGGAUGGAUAUCCAGGUGAGGACAGACGAUGGAAGAAGACGAAGAAAGGGACCCGGCUGAAUCUCUUGAUGUUACCUUAUUUAUUAAGAUUUCGAUCGGAGGAGGUGCGUUCAGGGAUCCAGAAGUUGGAUUUGUCUUGGAUCUGAGAAGCAGAGAAAAGUUUUGCUGUUGGGAAAAGCUGCACCACAUGCAGGAGUUUGCAAACAAACAAGUUGAACCAGUGAACACAGACAACGUCCACUAGAAGUCAAGGUCAAGACGGGCUGACAGAGACAAGCAGAGGGAGACUCACACUUAUGAGAACCGUCUGAAGGAAGCUUUGCAUGAAAAACAUCCCUUCAAUGUUCAACUUUAAAACUCUUAAACUGUUUUUUUUUUCUGUAAUUGCUUGUGACUGAAACAUAAUUAAUUGACUGUGACUGGUUUUGCAAUUAAACUUCAAUGCGAAAAACCA